GGUCCGGCCGUGUGCGGGCCGUGCACAGGCUGUGCACAGACACCCAGUGGGCGCCCGGGCUGCGGGGGGAGCGGGCCCGGGCGAGCGGGGGGCGCUGACACGGCGUGAGGGGCGAGAUGGCGUCCGGGCGAAGCUGUGUCUUCGCACUCGUACCGGGGAUGCUGGUGGUGCUCGUACUGAUAGGGUAACUCCAGGGUCGGCGCAGAGGCUGCAUGGAAUGCAAAAGGAGCAAAAUGAGAUCCCAGCCGCAGGGAUGGGUCCAGAAGAGUGGAAUGAAUGAGGCCUGGAUUUCUGUCCAUUUGUGUCCUAAUAGCUCUCCAUUGCAAUCAGCUGUCUCUCGCCUCAUGUUUCUUAUGUCCUCACCCCUGCUGGAGACACUACAUGCUGUACUUAGAUCAGAGCCGCGUUCCUGAUCAGCCAGCACGUGUAAUGACUGACCAUGUUGCUGAUGUCCAGUAGAAGCCUCAGCUGAAUACCGUAGCAGUUCUUGUGGAAGAGCAUGUGACAUGCUCCAUGAGAGCUGCAGGUGCAGAGGAAAAUAAAGAGGAAAGGUAUCAUCAGGACAGCUGCCACUUUGGGCCAUGGCUGCCUUUAUUGUGAACAGCCCUGCUCUGGAGAAGAUCACCUGGGGAAAAGUGGACACCUUGUGGAAAGUCAGAGAAAAAGUUAAUGGUACCAAAAGAAUACAUCUUUUAAGGUCUAAAUAUGUUUCAUCUGAACAGUUAUAUUUUUCUGUAGGAAUAUGGGAAUGCGGUUAGUGUAACAGGAUUAUCUCAAAAGUUCUGGAUUACACAUUUUAGGAAACACCUCACCCAGAGAAGAAGGAGUUCUACCUUCACCUGUAACCCUUCCAUGGGUCAGGGGCUUUGAACUGGUACACAUACUGCUUUUGUUCUUCAGAGUAGAUCACUCUGGGUGAAGAGGAGAUGGUUUUGCUAAGUCUUCUGCCAGAUGCACUUGAUACUGUUGACUGUAGCAGGAUAAUUGGUAAAGUGGAUGUGGUGGCUUGAGUUUCUGCUCCAAACUGGAGCCUUGAACUGUUACUCCAGGUUAUUUUGUCUGAGGCUGAUCUUAGAAAGCAUUUCCAGUUGUUCCCUCUCAGCAUUUCCUUCAUCAGAUAUGAAAGGGUUUAUUUUCUUUUAGUGUCCAAAUCAUAUGAACUUGAUUGAGAAGUUUAGUCUAGGAAAUAGUAAGCCAAGACAUCAUCUAGAAAAGGGCUCUCUAGGGUGUUACCUGGCCACUCUUUCAAAAGUCUCAUGGUAUCUCUGGAAUGCUGCUUCUCCUUAGUGCUUUGGAUUACCCAAGGGAAGUUUGUUUUUUGUUUGCAACACCCUGACUAUUAUCGCUGAAGUGUGAGUUCAGAGAUACUAAUCAGUUGCUCUCAUAAAGACUGAAUUUCCAUAACAUACUCUAUGGGAGAUAUCUACACAGUAGGUGCAUGGGAGUUUUCUUAUUUGAUGAAAUGUAUAGCCACAGGCUAAGAUGUGAUAACUGCAGUUAAAUAUGAAAACGUAGCUUGUGUAUUAAAAUAGUCCUGAUAAAGAGCCAGUACUAUAAAAAAUGUUGCACUGCACAAUUAAAAUGCUUUGUCUUUGGGUCCGAGAAAUGCAAAAUAUUUUUGUGUCAUGACUAACAGGUGUCUAAUUAUGGGUAAAUCACCAGUGCAACAUUGCUGGAACAUUAAGAACAGUCUAAACAGGGAUGCUCUCCCUCUCUCCAUUUACUGUGUUACUGUUUCAAUCUUGUGGUAUAUUUGACAAAAUGCACAAUUUUGCUACACAACAUUAAGUAUGUUUUCUUGUAAUUCUUUUAAUAUUAUUUAUUACUCCAUCCACUUUGGUCUUUUCAUAUUCAGUUUUCAAUGUAGUGCUUAUCUAAUAGACACUGAAAUGAAAAACAAAAUCAUCAGAGCUAUGGUGGUACUUGAUUUCCAAGAUUUCUGUCUACCUAAAGUGACAUAAAAACUCACAUUAAUUUAAUGUUUCUUCUUUUCAUUUACUGAAAUGACACCAAUAUUCUAAAUUUACUGUGGUGGUUACAUUUAUAUGCAGGCAUUCAUGAACAUACAUUUCAGUUAGUUUCUAUAUGGGAAAAGACACCUAGAUAUAAAAAAAAAAGAAGAUUAAGAGUUAAAAAUAUGUGCAAAUACAAGUCCUGAUUCCCUAUUAUCUGGGACAUAAUACCUGGGUACAAAUAACCAGCAAUAAGUUUGCAGGUACUGGUUUCAAAAAAACACCUUUUAAAGAAAGUAUUUUAACAUACUCACAGGAGUAUACAGUCUGUGAAAUAAUAUCUUUGUCUGUUGUGAGACCAAUUGAAUUACAAAUUUAGUUUGAAAAUAAUAUGUUAUUAACAAGCAUAUUUGCACUGCACAAAACCAGAUUCACUAAAAUGUGUAAGAUCUCCAUUUACACCAGAUAAGAAGCAGCAUAAUUUCUUCUUGCACACUCACACAAGUACUGUUGAAGUGAGAAUUGUUGAGCAUUCUAUUUUGUGGAUACUCAUUAUGAGUACAUGUUUAAGUAAGGUUGAAUGUUUGGGCAUUUCCUCAUUCCCAGAAAGAAAUACAAGCUUCUUAUUCUCUGUUUCAACAGUACUGGAGAAAUGUUUUGAAAUUUUAAUAUUCAGAUCAAGAAAUAAAUCCAAGGUAAAUGUAAAUAACCAGAAGAUACUCUAGACAAGAAAAAGCUUUGUGAUCACCACAAGAGCCCUUGCUAGCUUUCAGCAACUGCUGAGAAGGGAGGGCAGUGCUUUCCCCUGGUUUGGGUGCUGGAGAAUCAGUUUUCCUUCUGCUUUUUGUUCCACAUAUGCUACAUGGAAUCCUGGAAACCAGUUCCUUAUUUGCAACUCCAUAUAUGCUGAAGUUUAAGAAAGAGAGAUAAGAGUGUUAUCAAAGAAGCAAUGGAGUAAGAUGCUGAAACGGAUAUUGCUUGGGUGUGUUGCCAUGCUGAAGUAAACAAGUGUAUCUGUAUUUAUUUUUAUUGGUAUUUUGGGCUUACAGCAUGUACAUCAAAUUAUGUACACGCUUAUCACCUCUCAUGUAUGGAAACAGUUUUUAAAUUCUAAGCAUUUCAUUUAAAAGAAGUCAAAUCAAAUCAAUGCCAAGAACCCUAGUUAAGAUGUAAUUUUUGCUGAAAAUUACCUUUUUCAAGGCCUCGGAGAAAAAAAUCAGAGAUUUAGUAAAAUUAAACAAAUAAAGACAUUUCUAUCACAUUUCCCUCAGUCAAACCUUCAUUACAUUUCCCCUCUUUAUGUGAAAUACAGUAAAUGGAUAUGGUAUUUGCCCUUUCCAUGAGAAAGGAAUGAGAAAGACUCAAAAAAGUGUUGGACUGCAUUUUGAGAAGCAGUCUGUAGUUUUAUGUGAGCACUUCUGGCUGCUUAAUAAAGGCUGCAAGACCUUGCAGGUCUGAGGGAUUUCAGUUAGAGUUAUGAACCCAUAGCACCUUGAGAAAUUAGGUGCUAGGUCUGACCUACCUGCUGAAUCGAACUCUGCUGUUGAAAACAGGGGAUAAAUUUCCAUCUGAAGGCACUCAAAGAGAACAGAGCAUUUUGACUCCUAAAAUUUUCUCUUUGAAGUAAAAAGGGUGUCUCUAUUUAACCAUUCCUGGAGAAAAGUUUUUAAUAUUGUACUUUUGAAUCAUCCAGAUAAUUCCAGUCCUUUACAGUCAGUUCAUGUUUCAAAUCUUGUGCCAAAUGCUUACAUGCCUUGGAGUAGAGAAGACCCAGAGGGAACUCAUAAAAUUAUAUAGGAAGGGCACCAAUUCACUCUUGCUGAGAAGUAAUUUGGUUUGGUUUAGUAACCUGUGAAAUAGUUCUGUAAAAUUAUGAACUUUAAGGAAACUGUAAAGAGUGUGAUUAUUGACAUCUGCUGUAGGUGACCUUUACAUGCUGAAAAGAUCACAAGGUAGUAAAAACAAAAAAAUUACAGCCUCCUUUCCUUCUUCUCUCUAAUGGUCUGAAAUUGAAAAAUUGGAUCUAUUGAACCCCAGUUAAAGUUAGGACAGCCAAAUAAAACAAGACUACAACCUGCAACUUGCAG